UGAUAGCUACGAAGCGUGAGGUUGCUGCGCAUAUCGCAGGUUUUCCGUGGAGCGAAUGUCAAGUUAAGAAACUGGCGACAA
rnacentral:ncRNA from 1 species